rnacentral:misc_RNA from 1 species
CUGGGUGGCUUCGGCCUAAACCCCUAACCAUUGUGAACGAUUACCAGCUGCUUAGCUGGUGGCAGGUGAAUAACUGCAGUCCCGGCGGCACCGAAACUCUUCUAAUGUUAUCUCUGAGUUACUUUUAAAUAAGUCA